GAUGAACGCUGGCGGCGCGCCUAACACAUGCAAGUCGAACGGCACCCCUCUCCGGAGGGAAGCGAGUGGCGAACGGCUGAGUAACACGUGGAGAACCUGCCCCCUCCCCCGGGAUAGCCGCCCGAAAGGACGGGUAAUACCGGAUACCCCCGGGAGCCGCAUGGCUCCCGGGCUAAAGCCCCGACGGGAGGGGAUGGCUCCGCGGCCCAUCAGGUAGACGGCGGGGUGACGGCCCACCGUGCCGACAACGGGUAGCCGGGUUGAGAGACCGACCGGCCAGAUUGGGACUGAGACACGGCCCAGACUCCUACGGGAGGCAGCAGUGGGGAAUCUUGCGCAAUGGGGGGAACCCUGACGCAGCGACGCCGCGUGCGGGACGGAGGCCUUCGGGUCGUAAACCGCUUUCAGCAGGGAAGAGUCAAGACUGUACC
rnacentral:rRNA from 1 species